GUGAUAUCUGACUAGCUCCAAAAGAACCAAAUCAAAGUCCCACACCAGUGAUACUUUGACGCAUGGUUCUGGACGGUUUGAUACCCCGCAGAAAAUGGCAUAUCAAAGGCUCUUGAUUGACCGGAGUGUCGUGAAUCGUGCUAUGCGUCGUCGAAAUCGCAGAACGUAGCCCGUUAAUGGAACGUUCCGAUCGGCCUGUAGUGAAAAGGUAUGAUAAAGAUCCAGCAUCGUGG